GUCCAGGAGGGCGAAUGCGAUCACUCAGUCAAAGUAGUUACAACAGUUCAUUUGCCAUGAUCCAAAUGAAACAGAUGUCAUUCUUCUGCAGUGUUCGCCUGUUCAUCCGCCUUACUGGGCACCAUGCACUGUGAAUCAAACUUUUGACAGUAUUAGCUGUGCCGGUUCGUUUACUGAAACUCCUAUUCUAUCCCGAAAGCAGUCACUAUUUGACUCUAAGUCUGAAAACAACCAAUCCAAAUCAAGGCCCUCAUCUUUAGUUAUGAAUAAUUCCAGUGAAUUAGAAGCAAUCCUUUCGCCUCCAUUUAAUGCUUCUCGUUCUAUAUCAAUUGAUAGCAGUUAUAAUAAACAAAUGAUCCACUCGCAGAACAAUACAAAAAAGAUAAAUGGUGGUAUCACUCCAACGUUAACCAUUACACCUGCAGCAAGUAUGGAACAGCUAAGCUCAACUAAUCAAGCAAUGGAACCAUCUGAUGAUGAAAGUACACCAUUAGUUUCGAAUAUUCCGUCUCCUUUGUCCGACUCCAGCUCUAAUUGCAGAACAGCAAACCAGCGAGUCAGCACCAGCAACAGUCAACAGUCUCAGAACUGUCAUCCCCUGUCUCAAUUAUUUCAUCACAAUCAUCCAAACCGAACCGAGGAGGAGAGAUGUGCGAAUCACAUUAUGAUUUUUUUGUUUACAACGAACGUCGAGACAGUGAUAGAAGCUCUGAAAAUAGUCCGAAGAAAAGUUAUUCUUUGAGAAGGCAAGAUUCAUUGCAUGGUGAUAGCAUUGAAGACAUCCCGUGGGACCCAGAAACUUCUGUUUAGAUUUUUUAAGCUGCUUUUGCUUAUAAACCACUCAUUUUUAAAUAUUCAGUUUUGGCUCUUUAAAAUUAUUGACGAAUAAAGCACUUAUUGCAUUAUAAUAGAUGGCUUAUCUAAGGUAAAAGCUUUUCUUGCAAUUCUUAUAACAAAUGAAAAAAUCUAAAAUAAAAUGCCUUUGUGAAACUAAGCUAGCAAAAAGACCCGACGCCCAUCCUAAACCAUGCUUUGGGUGCCAUUAUUGUUUAGAUAUCAGCUCGAUGUUGUCAUAGAUAAUUCAAAAUAUCCAAUUCCUCUUUAACCAACAAGGUUUUUCUUCCCAGUAAAAAUUGUACGGCCCCUAUAAGCCGUCGCAUCGAUGAGCUGGUGAGCCAUUUAAACGAAUUAGCACUAGUAUACAUGUAUUCUAGAGGCAAGUUGAAAUCAAAAAGCGCUGCCUAUCGGCUGAGCGCUUAAUUGUCAAUUGACAAAACAUUGAAAACAUUGUAACAUUUGGUCUCUUAUGUAAUUUCGAUAGGUAUUUUAAGUUGUGAAAUAUUUUGUUGGAUAUCAAUAUUUAAAGAUUAAAAAUGUCUGGUUUCGCUGCCAACACUGAGGCACUAAGUUCAAUUCCCGGUGGUGACAAAUUUUCAAAGACACCUCAUAAUCCAUCGUCUUGACUGUGGGUGACAAUGCCACUCCACCACCCAGCUUGUCCCUUAGAUGCAGCAGGGUAGGGAGGGACAUCGUAAUCUGGUACAAGUUAGUUUGCACUGUUCGCCUGUGUUGUAAUUCAAAUGUGGAUCAGUAGGAGAUUGAAACAACAGAGCCCGACUCAGUGGUGACGCGGCCGUGUUCCAAAUGAUUCCAUGCUGAGUCUUCUAGAGUUAUCAAUACAACCUAUUGUUGGCUUAAAAAAUGGCUGCUGGGCCUUUCAGGAAUAUGUAUGUGUCAAUCUUAUGAAUCAAGUAGCUUGGCCCAACUUUAGGGUGCACAACUUCCGUUAUACCUGUGCCUAAGCUCUUAGAUGGUGUCUUUGCCAGUCAAAUUGGCGACUACUACUACACUACUACAUUUCAGGUACCAGGACAGUGUGCAAAAAUUAACUAGCCUAAUUCUCAUCCAUUUUACUAUCUAAGUUAAGAUCACCCAUUGAUGUUGUCGAAGUCUCUCUAGGACUACUAGCUGCAAUUUGUGGGCCCACUGGAGAGCCGCUAGUAGUCAUCAGAGGUAUCUGUAAUUUAUUCCACGCUUCUUGAUAUUUGGACUGCGUUUUGCAGAAAGGAACUAAGUCACAUCAACUAUUGCUAAAUUUAAUUUUUUACAAGAGAAUGUUUGAGCGAAUUUAUUUGAAAACUUUAAGAAAUUUGCUUCAUACUAUGCAGAACAUUCACUGAAAUUUGCACUAAAAUCCGCACAACCGUUUUCAUGUAAAAAUUUAAUUGCCUGAUCAAAUUUGGCAACAGCUAUUGUGGCUUGUUCCUUUCUUCUUAACGCGGUCCCCUUAUUCAACAGCAUAUUCAGAAAGUGCUGUCACCGUUCAUUUCUGUCCUUAAACUGAAAACAGUUGAUCUAUAUUUCUGCAUCCUAACGGUAAUCAAGAUCUAGUAGCAUACUCCUUAAAUAAGCCUGAAUUUGAACAAAGGAUGUAGGUAACCCUGGAAUUGAUUUUAUCUGGAGGAAGCUUGUAGCAUGAUAAGUUUCGAUUCUCAAAGUCUUUAGUUUAAAACAAUAUCUUUGUUGUUUAAAUAUUUUAUAAUUGUUACUUUAGAAGGGGAUUUGCCAGGAUAGAUUUUUGACUUUAUUUUGGAAAAUGAGAUAUACUGUGAUAUUUUUUAUGCAACCUUUAUUUUUUUCAUUUAAGCAAUUUUCUAGGAUUAUCGAAUUUUUAUUUUUACGUCGAUUCAUUGAAGAAUUUAUCUUUUAGGAUUUCCGUGUAAGCUUUUAUUAGUGUUUUCCAUCUUAUCCUAUCAUACCUUUUGGCCCAUGAAAAUUGUAUUCCUUUGGAAAUUUCGAAUAUCUCUUGUUGAAACAUAAUGAUUCAAAGUAAUCUUUGAAACUUUUCAAUGUACACCCUUUACAUGUUCUGAACUCUAGUUUUCAUCAUCAAUGUCUCAUGUUGUAACUACCAUGUUGUAACACCUAUGCAGGUCGAUGAUCGAAAAUUUAGUACCCUAUUUAAACAGUUUUGAAUUACUAUUCGGGAUCACAGUGACUUAAUUUUGUUGUACCCUGCAAUACCUUACAUUCAUUUAUCAAAAUUCCUCAAUAACCUAGCUCUUUCCCAGUAGAAUUUUAUAUUCAGUGUUGACAAUAAUCCUAUGAGAUAUCUUGCAGUCCCUUGAACUGGAAAAACAAAUUGAUUCAGAGGGUUAUCAUUAUUUUUUGAAACUUAAAAUGUAAUCUCGGAAGUCUUGGAUGGAAGAGAGGUAUCAAACUUGAAGUCACGCCAGAAAUUUCUGUGAAUUCUGUCAAGUCGCCCCAGCUCAAUUUAUUUCUGAAACUACGACUGGAUUGAAUGUGUUAGUGUCAAUUUUACCUGCUGUCACUUUUUUUGCCGCAAGAAUGUGUGUUGGUACCUUCUCCACUCAGAUUGUCAUUACCUACAGCAUAAUUUUUGCCCUUAAAUCAAGGUAAUGAAUACAACUUAUGAUGAGUGUCCUGAUUUGUAAUUUUCUCGCCUUAUCCCUCUCUCUUUUCUCUAAUAUUAUUAAUGAUGAAAGUGAAUGCUCAUAUUGCAAUUAAUGUAACAUUCUGAAGUGACACUUUUCAAGAUAUCUAAAAUUUUUACUUCAUAAUUGACUGAAUGGAAUUUUUACAACAUUUCAUAAACCUGUAUGAAGUUUCCAUUUAUUCCGGUUAACCUCCUACCAAUCCACCCCUUCCUUUUUUCUUUUCUUUUGAAUAAUUAUUCAAGCAUCUCAGCAUCAGCAAUUAUUUUAGAAUUUAUUGAACAAAAAAGUACUUCUUGUGUCAUUGAAUGGUGCAUGCUCGGAUGAUUUUAUCUACAACUUGAUGUGUCAUUGUAGUAUUGUAAUAAUAGUAUUUGUUUAAAUUAUAUAUUAAUAAAGACUCAUUUUUAUGUAUCCAAUGUGGUUGUGCAUUUCACACUCAUAUGCCUCAGAUUCUAAGUAGAUAAAAUAACUUACAAUUUAAGAUAAGGGGGACUAAUAAUCUUUUAAAAAGAGGAAUGGCUGGCGGCUUACCGUAAAUAACCUCAGGAAAAGUUAC
rnacentral:lncRNA from 1 species